CUGGUGAUUAGGAUGCCAUUUAUUUAUUUCAGCCAAGGCCACAAUUGCCACGUCUCAUCACCUGGAAAUAAACAGCAAACGGGGCUGUCCGGGGCCGUUGAGGAAACGCAAAGGGAUCUGUAAAGCAGCCCUCAACUAUCUGUCCUCUCUGGGAAUUUUCUGGCCCGAAGAAGACUACUUUGCCUGAGGUUGCAGCCUAAAUGUGGUGGUGUUAAGGCCCUGUCCUCCUGCUCCAACUUGAUACAAUUCUGCAAGAUUAUCCCAGCUUCAAAGCUCUUGCUGGGAGAAAUGUCUAUGUAUCUUCCAGUAGCUGGACAUUAAAGUGAUGGGAGAUGAGUUUAUCUAAGAAGGAAAAGAGCCUCAAACCGAGCCUUGAGCGAUGACCACAUUUAAUAGCAUAUUCAGGAGAGGCGGGAAACGGAGGAAGAAAGGAAGCUUCCAGAGAGAUAGAAAAACCCGGGGAAUAUGGUAUCGCAGAAGCCAAGGGAAGAAUAUUUCAAGAAAGAGAGAGGGAGUGCUCAGUGGAGUCGAAUGCCACGAACAGGUCCAGGAAGACAAUGCAGUGAGACCCGGGGGCAUCAUUACUGCGUCCAGGCCUCAGUUUCAACAUCUGCGAAAGGGGGAUAAUUGCACACAGCCUGCCACCCUUUGGGACUACGAGGGAACCAAAGGAAAGAGCAGAGGGGAAACAACUUGGAGCUGCAUAAAUGUGCUGUGUGUGUCUUGAAGCACCAGGGCCUGGGCCACUGCUCGAGCCGCGGCAGCCCUAAUAAAUCUCAGGGCU